CAUUAAGAAGCUAACGCAGCAUUAACCUUUUAAGUUAAAGAAUGAAGAACUAAUUACUUCCUUAAUGG
rnacentral:tRNA from 2 species